UUUUUCCUAGAUUAUCUGACUUUUCAACUAUUCCUUUACUGUUUUUUCACAAUGUGAUAUAUGAAAUAAUACCAUAAAAACUUUGCAUGCAUGCAUAUGUGCACAUACACACAAACACGAAAAAUGAUUCACUAAAUUAAGCAACACUAGACAUAAAAAAGAAUCAUCUUGGUCAGUUUAAAAAAUAGUAAUGAUCUUCAUAUCAUUGGGUUAUAUAAGGGAGAUCGAUAAGUAGCAUUCCUCCAACAAAGUUCACAACCAAUUAAGAGUUAAGGUAAAACAAUAAAACUGAUAAAAGGCCAAAUGCUGAUAAUAUAAUAUUGUAUAAUAUGAGUUAUACCAUUGGGCAAGUUUCUUAGUAUUGAAUCCCAGAAUUAGACAGACUAGCCCUCCCACAUUUGUUCAACAGUGGCUACCUCAGUUUACUGUGGGUGGGAGUCCUCUUUCAGUGAAACUGAAAGCAGAGAGGGAAGGAACACAACAUGUAUUCUCUGUGGGCAAACAAACUGCCAGAAAAAGUGGAAGAUACUGAAC
rnacentral:lncRNA from 1 species